UGAUUGUGUAUGUGUGUAUUGGAGUUGGACUUUUGGGGCUUGCAGCUCUUCUCUUUGCACUCUUCUGGUUGAGAUGCAAGAGACAGAAGAAAAAAGCAGAUGAAUGUGACUAUCAGAAUAUUGGGCUGAAUGCUAAAGAAAACACUGCACCUGACCUCACCAACCAGACGUCUAAUGAUGUGUUUCAGACAUCUUUAGUAAGUGUUUACUGAACAACGCAGGUACUGCUGGCAUGUAAGAUGAUGAUGGUCAGUGGUACUGAAUAAAAACCUUAAAGGUCA